rnacentral:rRNA from 1 species
UGGGGAAUUUUGCACAAUGCCCGAAAGGGUGAUGCAGCAACGCCGCGUGAGGGGUGAAGGCCUUCGGGUCGUAAACCUCUUUCGACUGGGAAAAACGGGUCCGUGAAGAGCGGAUUCUGAUGGUACCGGUGGAAGAAGCCCCGGCCAACUACGUGCCAGCAGCCGCGGUAAUACGUAGGGGGCGAGCGUUGUUCGGAAUUAUUGGGCGUAAAGGGCGUGUAGGCGGUGCGGUAAGUCGGGCGUGAAAUCUCCGGGCUUAACUCGGAGGGGCCGUUCGAAACUGCCGUGCUCGAGUGUGGGAGAGGAAAGCGGAAUUCCCGGUGUAGCGGUGAAAUGCGUAGAUAUCGGGAGGAACAUCUGCGGCGAAGGCGGCUUUCUGGACCACAACUGACGCUGAGGCGCGAAAGCUAGGGGAGCAAACAGGAUUAGAUACCCUGGUAGUCCUAGCCCUAAACGAUGAACACUGGGUGUGGCCCUUCACGGGGCCGUGCCGGAGCUAACGCGUUAAGUGUUCCGCCUGGGGAGUACGGUCGCAAGGCUG